rnacentral:rRNA from 1 species
UACGUAGGGUCCGAGCGUUGUCCGGAAUUACUGGGCGUAAAGAGCUCGUAGGUGGUUUGUCGCGUUGUCCGUGAAAACUCACAGCUCAACUGUGGGCGUGCGGGCGAUACGGGCAGACUGGAGUACUGCAGGGGAGACUGGAAUUCCUGGUGUAGCGGUGGAAUGCGCAGAUAUCAGGAGGAACACCGGUGGCGAAGGCGGGUCUCUGGGCCGAUGACUGACGCUGAGGAGCGAAAGCGUGGGGAGCGAACAGG